UAGAUAUUAGGAGGAACACCAGUUGCGAAGGCGGCUCUCUGGACUGUAACUGACGCUGAGGCACGAAAGCGUGGGGAGCAAACAGGAUUAGAUACCCUGGUAGUCCACGCUGUAAACGAUGAGUACUAGGGGUCGGGGGUUACCCCCUUCGGUGCCGCAGCUAACGCAUUAAGUACUCCGCCUGGGAAGUACGCUCGCAAGAGUGAAAC
rnacentral:rRNA from 1 species